UACGGCCACGUCGCGUUGAAACACCGGUCCCCGUACGAUAACUGAAGUUAAGCAACAUCGAGCCUGGUCAGUACCUGGAUGGUUGAUUGUUUGGGAAUAUCAAGUGUUGUAAG